CACCCAACGCUCCUCUCCCCGUAACUCCCGUCCCCCACGGUCGCCCCAAAUCUCGCGAAACCGCCGAAGAAGCUGUCGGGCUCGUCGUCGCCAAGCCGAUCUCCUCCGCGCCGCCAGAACUUCGUCGCCUCUUCUAGAAACACGACGCGCACAGACAGAGAGAGAAAAGAGGAGAAAAAGAAAAGCGGCAAAAGUCGGGAAUCCCAAGAGCAAGGAGCGGGCGUGCUUGGCCGCAGUUGCCGGGGACCCCCAACGUCAUCUUCGUCGGCACGGAAGAAGACGGCAUCUUCGCCGUCGAGCUCGAUUCGCUGAGCGUCAGGAAAGUGUGCGAAUUGGACAAAUCACAAGACCUUUUCUUCCCCUUCGUCAGCUACUACGCCGAGUCAUUCCUGCUGAGCCUAUCAAGCAGCAAAUUGCCAGCACCAGCGGCAAAUUAAUCCACCAUCUUGCAGUCUGAUCGAUGUUCUUCGGUGAUUUGUUUCGUCUGCGGAAAGUUCAGGGAGACAAGUAGUUUAGUUCGAUCACUUGGUCAGUUAGCAUAGUUCCUGACGAUUUUUUUGUUGUGGUGUUCUUCUUAUCAAAUUGUGACCAUGGAUCGAACACUUAUUUCAAUCGAUCAGUUUCAGCAUACGCGAGUCAUUUUGUUUCAGUCAAUGCCUGACACAACCAUCAAGUGUUCUGAAAAAUGAAUCGUUGUGGUUCAGUCUCAGUCGGAUUGGGGGGAAUUGGGAGGGUUUUGGGUCUAAUUGGUGUCACUUUUCUGAUCAUCGAGUCGUCGUCCGCGGAGAAGACUAAUAUCACUCAUGAGUUAAAUUUUAGUGGGAGUUAAAUUUUAACUCAUGGUGACGUGGACGAAUCUCGGACGUUCAUUUCUCGAUCCAAUGGUAUAAGGUGAGAGUUGCAUAGUUGCACUGAAUUAGGUGAUUGCACCGGAUACUUCCCCGUGACCAUGAGACUUUGGACAUGGUGAUUUAGUAAGGAGAGCUAAUUUUCUGCUGUUGGGACGUGGUAAAUUCUCUUCUACCAAACCAUCUGAUGUGCUAGCUCUUACCGUGCUUGUCUAUAUAUGCUAAAAUCACUUCUAAGAACUAUAUGAUGUUUCCGGCAAGAGAGUCAAAUCGAUAUUGUUCAGAAUCAAGAUACAUGAAUAUUGAUCUCUGCAAUCUUCAGUGAGUGUUGAGUUCUGUGUGAGGAUGUAAGUAGGGGACAAGCUCUAUCAGUCUAAAGAAAUAAAGAAUAGUAUUAAUCUUACUUUGAUUUAAUAGUCGAUAUGCCCUCUGUGUAAGCUGUUCCUUGGUUCUUGUAAAAGAAAGAAAUGCACCUCGCUGGCUAGGUUAGCAUUUUUAUCAGAAAUUUUUAUCUGAAUUGAUUCCUAAAUAUAGAUACAUGGUGCACUAUUUUUGGUCUAAAAUGGAGUUGAUUCCUGCUUGUCUGUACUUGGAGCAAGCAGCUCAGUCCAUGGAUGCCUUGCUACGUGUAUUGACACG